rnacentral:rRNA from 1 species
AGUCGAACGGCAGCGCGGGGCAACCUGGCGGCGAGUGGCGAACGGGUGAGUAAUAUAUCGGAACGUACCCUGGAGUGGGGGAUAACGUAGCGAAAGUUACGCUAAUACCGCAUACGAUCUAAGGAUGAAAGUGGGGGAUUCGCAAGAACCUCAUGCUCCUGGAGCGGCCGAUAUCUGAUUAGCUAGUUGGUGGGGUAAAGGCUCACCAAGGCUUCGAUCAGUAGCUGGUCUGAGAGGACGACCAGCCACACUGGAACUGAGACACGGUCCAGACUCCUACGGGAGGCAGCAGUGGGGAAUUUUGGACAAUGGGCGCAAGCCUGAUCCAGCAAUGCCGCGUGAGUGAAGAAGGCCUUCGGGUUGUAAAGCUCUUUUGUCAGGGAAGAAACGGUGAAGGCUAAUAUCCUUUGCUAAUGACGGUACCUGAAGAAUAAGCACCGGCUAACUACGUGCCAGCAGCCGCGGUAAUACGUAGGGUGCAAGCGUUAAUCGGAAUUACUGGGCGUAAAGCGUGCGCAGGCGGUUUUGUAAGUUUGUCGUGAAAGCCCCGGGCUCAACCUGGGAAUUGCGAUGAAGACUGCAAGGCUUGAAUCUGGCAGAGGGGGGUAGAAUUCCACGUGUAGCAGUGAAAUGCGUAGAGAUGUGGAGGAACACCGAUGGCGAAGGCAGCCCCCUGGGUCAAGAUUGACGCUCAUGCACGAAAGCGUGGGGAGCAAACAGGAUUAGAUACCCUGGUAGUCCACGCCCUAAACGAUGUCUACUAGUUGUCGGGUUUUAAUUAACUUGGUAACGCAGCUAACGCGUGAAGUAGACCGCCUGGGGAGUACGGUCGCAAGAUUAAAACUCAAAGGAAUUGAC